AUACGGAGGUGGCAAACGUUGCUCGGAAUCACUGGGCUUAAAGCGCUCGUAGGCGGCAUUGCAAGUGUCGGGUGAAAGCCCACGGCUCACCCGUGGAACUGCCCGGCAAACUGCAGUGCUAGAGUGUGGUAGGGGAGAGCGGAACUCAUGGUGGAGCGGUGAAAUGCGUAGAUAUCAUGAGGAACACCGGUGGCGAAGGCGGCUCUCUGGUCCAUAACUGACGCUGAGGUGCGAAAGCUAGGGUAGCGAACGGGAUUAGAAACCCCGGUAGUCC
rnacentral:rRNA from 1 species